UACGAAGGGGGCUAGCGUUGCUCGGAAUGACUGGGCGUAAAGGGCGCGUAGGCGGAUGGCUUUGUCGGGCGUGAAAUUCCCGGGCUUAACCUGGGGGCUGCAUUUGAUACGUGUUGUCUAGAGUGAGGAAGAGGGUUGUGGAAUUCCCAGUGUAGAGGUGAAAUUCGUAGAUAUUGGGAAGAACACCGGUGGCGAAGGCGGCAACCUGGUCCUUGACUGACGCUGAGGCGCGAAAGCGUGGGGAGCAAACAGG
rnacentral:rRNA from 1 species